GACCCCAGGCUUGUCUGACUGUCAAUGCUCAACAGUCCUGGGCAUGGCUAGCACUUGGAUGGGAGACCCCCUGAGAAUCCCAGGUGAAUGUAGUUA
rnacentral:rRNA from 1 species